GACGAACGCUGGCGGCGUGCUUAAUACAUGCAAGUCAACUUGACUUUAGAUAGCAAUAUCGAAAAGUAGGGUGGCGCACGGGUGCGUAACGCGUAGGGUAAUCUGCCCUGAGGUCUGACAUAACCCGUCGAAAGGCGGGCUAACAUCAGAUGAUAUAUAGUCACGACAUCGUGGAAAAUAUCAAAUCUUCGGAGCCUUGGGAUGAGCCUGCGUCUGAUUAGGUAGUUGGCGGAGUAAUAGCCCACCAAGCCUACGAUCAGUAGCUGGUCUGAGAGGAUGAUCAGCCACACUGGAACUGAGACACGGUCCAGACUCCUACGGGAGGCAGCAGUAAGGAAUAUUGCUCAAUGGGGGAAACCCUGAAGCAGCAACGCCGCGUGAAGGAUGAAAUACUUUUGUAUGUAAACUUCUGUAAGAUGGGAAAAAUAUUCUCCUUGGGAGAAUUGAUUGUACCAUCAGAGUAAG
rnacentral:rRNA from 1 species